GGAUGUCAAAAUUGCCCUGUUUGAGCAUGCGCGAAAGGCUGCCGCUGUCUGGGCACAAAUUGUCUUCGAGGAAGUUUCCGCUCCUGGUUGUCUGUGAAUGUGAGGCAAAGCCAGGAGCCAUUUUGGAAGAUGGAAAACAUCUGGGGAGUGCAGAGCACACUGGAUUAGAAGGUAGAAUUUGUGCAAAUAGAAAACAAAACACCAAGGAAGAGUGAGUGCAAGUGAAGGAACAUACACAAGGUCAGAAGGAACUUGGAGAAUAUCAGAGCAGCAGCCCAUGAAUUCACCUGAGAAGGGCCGAGUCCUCCUGCAAAUCAGCUGAGGAAUGAGAUGCCACUGGAUUUAGAUGAGGAGCUCCUUGGAGACAGACUCACUCCCUGCUUGUCCAGGACCAGUUUAUCAACACAAAAUUAAUUUUCUCUACACCUGUUCAUUUCAUGGGGAGACUAAGAAGAUAAUCUCUGUAGACUUCCAAAGGGAACUCUGCCUUCAUCAUUCCACAUGACCCUGAUGGCUGUGCCCUCCUCAGCCGGUGAGAGAACCCAUGACUCCUGGUAAUUUAAAAAUAAAUACUUCUGCAAGUGAACCAAUAGAAAUAUUUCACUGUCAUUGAACAGAAAGCUAAAAGCCUAAUUACUUAUUUUAGGAAGCUGACACCAGAAGACACGGAAGAUAAGGCAUUCGACCUCUUUUAUUGCAACUCUUCCGAUCCUUCGUGCCUGCUCUCCCCACCGUAGACUUUAAAACCCACGCGUGUUUGAAAUGCUGCUGGCUAAGAGCAUGGUGUUGAUGAACGGGAGUCAUAUCAUGUUAGCCCAAGGCCCUCUAGUUACUGUGAGAGGCGCUGCUGUCUCUACCCAAGGCACUGUUGCUGUGAAGCGAAGAGUCUCUCGCUCCCGAUCCCCAGAUACAGAGCAGU